rnacentral:rRNA from 1 species
UACGUAGGGGGCAAGCGUUGUCCGGAAUCAUUGGGCGUAAAGAGCGUGUAGGUGGCUCGGUAAGUCCGCUGUAAAAGUCCAGGGCUCAACCCUGGAAAGCCGGUGGAAACUGUCGAGCUAGAGUCCGGAAGAGGCGAGUGGAAUUCCUGGUGUAGCGGUGAAAUGCGCAGAUAUCAGGAGGAACACCAAUGGCGAAGGCAGCUCGCUGGGACGGUACUGACACUGAGACGCGAAAGCUAGGGGAGCGAACAGG